rnacentral:lncRNA from 10 species
GAAUAAACACUAAUUUGUUUGCGUGUGAAUAAGGCAUCAUUUAUGUAGCAACUUCUACAGAUUGGGUACUGGAGAUUUUUCCAAAACGAAUAAUGCUCCUGCUUUUGAGCUUACAAUGUAGUAGGAAAGAUAAACAGAGUGUGAUAAGUGACAUCAUAAAGGCACAAACAAAUUCCUGUGAGCACAAAGUGGAAAGCCCCUGAGCUGGAAAAUAGCACUGAGGUGGUUUCAUGAAAGAGGAAGCAGCAAGGCUGGGCCUUGAAGAACGUGAAGGAGUCACCCAGCUAGAGAGGGCAGGAGGGUGUUCCACGAAGUACAAACAUCAUGAACAGAAAGUCAAAGAGUGAAAGUGAAGGGAGGAUUGGGGAGCAGUGAACAGACAAUGUGAGAGAGCUGCGGCACCAUGGAGAAGAGUAAUGAGAGGGACAUCCUGAAGGAAAGACAAUAUGAAGGACUGUCGAUGCCAAAGAAAGGACUUUCAGCCAUAUGCACGCAAUGGGGAGCAAUGCAAGAUUGUCAACCAAGAGACUGAGGUGCUGCUACCACAAACAUGAGGAAACUUCUGUUAGGAGUUCAACCUUCAGAGAGGACAGCUGGCAGUGCAAGAUGGUGACAGCCCUGCAAUCAGGAGAAGAAAGUCAUGAGACCUGUUUCUCCAGGUUUCCCGCCUCCUUCCACCUUCUGUACAGGACACACCAGUUCCCUCAAGCCCAAAAUGUGAGCAGCUGUCAUUCUCUGCAUAGCCAAGCUCGGCAGUCUGCCGAAAGGGACAAGCCAGUCCCGCAAAGGAAUGAUGUAUGCCAAAAGAUACUGCAUUAGGAUCUUCAUUAACUGGAGGGCCAAUAAAUUUAUGAAAAUCAUGAAUCAGUUAAUCCAUUCCUUACGAUGAAUAGCUAAUUAACAUGAGGACAGGGCCUGACCCUUCUAUUCAUCUCUACUCACUCCUGAGCUUCCUGUUACAGACAGGCUCCAGGGCA